UUAAAUAGGAAAGUGAGAAUUCCAGAAUUCUUGGACUAUUAUACAUCAUCUUCCCUAUUUUAGCCACUACGUCACCUAUUUUGGAGAUUUAGAAGCAAAUGGAUUUAGAUUUCAGACAACUUUUCCAUUGCAAACUCCAUUUGAGUUUUUUCCAGCUAUAUUUGAAGAUUUGCAAUCUUCAGAAUCUUCGCAUUGUCAUUGGUGUACUCCUGUAGUUCUUCUAAAAAUUCUAGCGCGUCUCCCAUAUUUGGCCGUAACUCUGCUUCUAUUGACACGCAUUUGCGUGCAACUUGAGCUACUUUGGGCAUUGGAUACAGGCCUGAAAAUGCAGGAUUCAAAAGUAGGGAAAAUCUGUAUCUGCUGAUACGGUGCCUUGCCCACUCGACUAAAUUUUGUUCUUCAAUUGGCUUGUUUCUAUCUAUAGCUUGCCUUCCAGAUAACAUUUCAAGCAGAACAACUCCAAAACUAUAUACAUCAACUUUUGUGGUCAGACGACCUUUGUUCACAUACUCAGGAGCUAAGUAGCCAUAGGUGCCCAGGAUGCUUGCACUGAGAUGGCUUCUAUCAUCUGUUGGACCAUCCUUUGCAAAGCCGAAAUCGGCGAGUUUGGCAUUAUAAUUCUGUCAUUUAUUAUAACAGGAAACAAUGUAUUAAGGAAGGAAGAGCAAGUGCUG
rnacentral:misc_RNA from 1 species